AAGAGAGCUUGCUUCUGGAACGUUAGCGGCGGACGGGUGAGUAACACGUGGGCAACCUGCCCCUUAGACUGGGAUAACUCCGGGAAACCGGAGCUAAUACCGGAUAAUCCCUUUCUCCACCUGGAGAGAGGGUGAAAGAUGGCUUCGGCUAUCACUAGGGGAUGGGCCCGCGGCGCAUUAGCUAGUUGGUAAGGUAACGGCUUACCAAGGCGACGAUGCGUAGCCGACCUGAGAGGGUGAUCGGCCACACUGGGACUGAGACACGGCCCAGACUCCUACGGGAGGCAGCAGUAGGGAAUCUUCCGCAAUGGACGAAAGUCUGACGGAGCAACGCCGCGUGAGUGAGGAAGGCCUUCGGGUCGUAAAGCUCUGUUGUGAGGGAAGAAGCGGUACCGUUCGAAUAGGGCGGUACCUUGACGGUACCUCACCAGAAAGCCACGGCUAACUACGUGCCAGCAGCCGCGGUAAUACGUAGGUGGCAAGCGUUGUCCGGAAUUAUUGGGCGUAAAGCGCGCGCAGGCGGCUUCUUAAGUCUGAUGUGAAAUCUCGGGGCUCAACCCCGAGCGGCCAUUGGAAACUGGGGAGCUUGAGUGCAGAAGAGGAGAGUGGAAUUCCACGUGUAGCGGUGAAAUGCGUAGAGAUGUGGAGGAACACCAGUGGCGAAGGCGACUCUCUGGUCUGUAACUGACGCUGAGGCGCGAAAGCGUGGGGAGCAAACAGGAUUAGAUACCCUGGUAGUCCACGCCGUAAACGAUGAGUGCUAGGUGUUAGGGGUUUCGAUGCCCGUAGUGCCGAAGUAACACAUAAGCA
rnacentral:rRNA from 2 species